CACUUCUGUGUGUGUGUCUUUGUUUAAUUUGUAAUAAAGCCUUACAGAUGUGAACAGUAAAUCCUCUUUUGCAACCCAGAAGAAUAUGAGAUUUUGGUACAUGUAAAAAAGAAUAUA
ensembl:snoRNA